rnacentral:tRNA from 1 species
GGGGAAUUAGCUCAGUUGGCUAGAGCGCCUGCUUUGCAAGCAGGAGGUCAUCGGUUCGAUUCCGAUAUUCUCCA